UACGUAGGGUGCAAGCGUUGUCCGGAAUUAUUGGGCGUAAAGAGCUCGUAGGCGGCUCAGUUAGUCGGGUGUGAAACCCCCCGGGCUCAACCCGGGGGACGCCACCCGAUACUGCUGUGGCUAGAGUCCGGUAGGGGAGCGUGGAAUUCCUGGUGUAGCGGUGAAAUGCGCAGAUAUCAGGAGGAAUACCGGUGGCGAAAGCGACUCUCUGGACGGCAACUGACGCUGAGGCACGAAAGCGUGGGGAGCAAACAGG
rnacentral:rRNA from 1 species